rnacentral:rRNA from 1 species
UACGGAGGGUGCAAGCGUUAUCCGGAUUCACUGGGUUUAAAGGGUGCGUAGGUGGGUUGGUAAGUCAGUGGUGAAAUCCCCGAGCUUAACUUGGGAACUGCCAUUGAUACUAUCUGUCUUGAAUAUCGUUGAGGUAAGCGGAAUAUGUCAUGUAGCGGUGAAAUGCUUAGAUAUGACAUAGAACACCAAUUGCGAAGGCAGCUUGCUAACCGAAUAUUGACACUGAGGCACGAAAAGCGUGGGGGAUCAAAACAGG